rnacentral:rRNA from 1 species
CACGCCCUAAACGAUGCUGACUAGUUGUUCGGGAUUUACAUCCUGAGUGACGUAGCUAACGCGUGAAGUCAGCCGCCUGGGGAGUACGGUCGCAAGAUUAAAACUCAAGGAAUUGACGGGGACCCGCACAAGCGGUGGAUGAUGUGGAUUAAUUCGAUGCAACGCGAAAAACCUUACCUACCCUUGACAUGUCACUAACGAAGUAGAGAUACAUUAGGUGCUCGUAAGAGAAAGUGAACACAGGUGC